rnacentral:lncRNA from 1 species
GUAACAUUAACCAAUAUUUUAUCUGCAGCUGGUGUUUCCAGUGUGGUUGCCAUAUUUGGCAUUUAUUUCUUUGUAGCAGCCACAUUUCCUUUCCAAAAUUUCUCAAAAUCACUACUGAAAUUUAAAAAAAAAAAAAAAGAUUAAUGCAAGAAAACGAAACCACGACCCUUCAACAUUCCUGGAAGUGACAUAUAAGAUCUCAAUGCUCCCCCAAAUAAAUUUUGUCUGGUUUUGUGGAUAUCCCACUUUUACACAACAUUAGAAUGAUUUUUACAUCACAAUUGCUUGCAUGAUUGCACCCAGAAUCUGUUUGAAAUCCUAAUUGAAUCAGAAGAAAUUGAUUUUUGCCACUAUGUCUUGAGCUCGAUAAUUAUGUAAGUAUAUGAAAUUGCAUGCUUUUUUGCUAUUACUAAUUAAAAUGGAUAAGGAGGGUAUAGUUUACGAAAUUCUAUUUAGACAGAGAUCAAAGUGAUUAUUAUUCAUAAGGGCUCCAUCUUUAUUUGUAUUUAGUAGGGUUUUACCUAUUCAAAAAUUAAUACUUUGUUUCAUAAUCUGCCCUUACACUAUAGUUUUGAUAUAUUUUGGUUUUAUUUUCAUUAAAGGUUCUUUGAGUAGACCUGUUCAAAGGCUAAACUAUUCGUCCAAAUCUAAAAGUUUAUUUAAAUUUUGAGAGGAUUUGGAUAAAAAAUUAAAAUCUAUUAAACAAGUUUAAACAUAAUUUUUAAACCCGUUUAAAUUUAGGGCUAAACUUAAUUUUUAUUUUUAAUUUUUAUAUAUAUGUAAAUUAAAUAUAAUCCUAUUAAACUUAAUUUAAUUAAUUUUUUAAUUUUUUAUUUUAUAAAUUAAGUUUAAUAUGUGAGUUUGUAAUUUAUUUUUUUAAUUUGGGUUAGGUUUGAAAAAUUUUUGAGACCCGAAAUUUUAAAUCAAGCCAAACUUAGAUAAACAUAUAAAUUAUUAAUACCAAAUAUGAGUCUAGCCCAAAAUCUACCUAGUUCGACCUAUAAACACCUCUAUCUUGAGUACUAUUGAAAGUUUUAACUAAAGCAAACCAACUGUCAGCCUUAAUCCUCUUCUUAGAUCAUCUAAACAAGCCAUCCAAUUUUUCAAACAUUUUUGCAGCUUAUCAACUCAAGUUGAUUAAGCAAUAAAGCAUGAUAUAGCACAAACUCGUACGUCUUAAACUCAAUUCCUUAUCUCAAAUGCCUACAUUCAAAUGGUAUGUACGAUGCAUGAAUCUAGUUUAAUGAAUUUUAUUUUAUUUAAAAAUUUCUUGUAAUUCAAAAAAAAAAAGAAAAAAGAAAAAAAUGGUGUAACCAAUGAAGUAAUUGCUAAUAAUAUAAAAUUUGCCCAUUAUAUUAUUUGUCUCGAUCCCAAAUUUUUGUGGCGCGAAUUAAAUUUAUCUCCAUCGAUGUAAAUUAAGCACAAUAUGGAUUAUCUUGUGAAAUUAACAUGAGGUUUUAGUGAGGUUGUGUUAUAUAACAAAUUUUUUUUCAAUUUUCCAUAUUCUUGGAUGUAGUUAUCAUGCCUUACUUUUCAUGAUAGUUUCCUUUGUUUUAGAACCAAAUGAUACCUUUGACAAAUUAAAAUCCUCCCUUGUUAGGAAUUUUAAUACAGUAUCUUUUCUCAAUUUGGAUAAAAAUUUGUGUUCAAUGUUUUUGGCAUAGCCUUUUUUAAGUUUCCCUUCUAUCAUCCCUUUCUAUGGAGAAAUUUGGUGCCAAACAAGUUCAUAUCGACACCAUCACCCGCCUUUACGCCUCAAGAAAGGCCUAAUUUCCUCCUCCUUCCAACAGAUUUCGGCAAACAGGCAAAGUCACAAUUGCAUGACCCUAUCACAUGUGAUGGCUUCUAAAAACUGUUAGUGGGCAUAUAUAUCAUAAUCAUGAUUCAUAAGCUACCGGAAAAUAAAUUUAAUUAUAUAUAAUCAUCGGUUUGGUACAAUAUACCAAAUUCAACAAUCGAAAUUCCAUGUCUCAACCCUAGGUUGAAACCACAAGAGAAAAUCAUGACCUCAAAUUUAAUUCCUUGAUAUCGUGUAUGGUACAACUCAUUGAGGCUGGCUUUAAUAUCCAUCGCUGUCACAAAAAAUGUCAAAAUGAAAGCAUGAGAGCUUCCGUUUCGAAAAUGAAAACUUGGAGAAAAUAUGGCUGGGGUUAUUUUGAUUUCUAUGCAAUAUUCCAUGAAUCUGAGAAAUAAUAGCAAUCCAACUAAUUAAGUCUUGGAUGACUUGAAAUGAUCAAAUUUCGACACCCUUUUACAAAAGCCAAAUGGUGAUAUGAAUGAAGUAAUGGAGCAUUUUUUUUUUCUUUGAACGUGGCAAUAUAAGAUUAACAUGAUAUGCAAAAAGGGUCAAAGAUACAGAUGAUAUAUUAUCAGUGAUUGCACAAACUCUGUUUGAAGACUCUAAUAUCGAAAAGUAUAGGGAGACUUUUAAUUUCCCCAUGUUGAGGCCAAAAGCAGCAAAUUGAUGCUUACACGCCAGACUAGAAGUCAAAAAGAUGUUAUGAAUCCAAAAAUGUUGGAUAAUGUCCUUUGCAUGAACUGGGUUGUUUUUGAUGGUUGAAUCUUAAACACGACAAAUCAUGGGGACCAAAUCAAUCUUAUCAAUAGUUAAUUAGAUGUUUAAUUUAAAUUGUUGCAGUAUUAAAUGAAUUUUGUUAAUUUUGUUCCAUUACUGCACAAAGCUAAAUAUCUGCAGACUCUUACUUAAUUAGCAUGGAUAGGGUAAUAGGGAUUUGGUUCAAAUCUCAAUUUCGUGCAAAUCAAAACUCAUAAUUUAAUCCAAUUAAUUCAUAUAAUCAUUUGUAAAAAGUGUUAUCCAAUAAAUUUAAAAUUCAAAUUUCAACUCGAACUACAGCCUCAUUUAUACAAAGAAGAAAAAAUCUAUAUUAAGCAUUUACUAUGCAAAAUGAAACUAAUCGAAAACCUAAAGAAGAUGGAAAGAAAAGUUUGUAAUUGUUCCUUUGAGUGAAUAAAAAAAAAGUCUUUUGAGUUCUUUGGUGCAUUAAUGUUAUUUAGAUAUGGCAUGAUUGGUAUUCAUUAACUAAAGCAUUGGCUCUAAAACCAAUUUCAAAUGUUUGAAUCUUUCUUUCAUUUUUUGUGAGUAUGAAAAAAUCUAAAGAAAAAAAAAAGGGAAUUAGAGCCUUAGAUCUCAAUUCUCUUAAAUUAGAUAAAAAAAAAUAUUUUGUUAGGUCAAAUUAAACCCAAUUUCUGAAAUAGCUAAUUUUCUCUCAUGUGACCAACAAAAUACAAUUUGCUCUAUUUAUGUGUGCUAGGGACUUGGAAUAUGUGUGCUAAUGAUCAAUUUGUAUGUGCAAAAAGAAAGUUGAAGGACAAACUUUCUCGGUGAAUUGCCUAAUUCUUUUAGUUUCUUAUUGUAAUUUCAAAUCAGGGCAUGCAAAAUGCACUAAAUUUGCAAAGAAAUUAGGUGUGUUUAUAAGCAAAGGAAAAUAUAUAACAGUUUCCUGCUUUCUUUCCUUGUCUGAAUUAUGUUUAUGGCUGCCAAUUUCAUUAUGUAGUUGAACUUCAACAAGGAAUGGUCUACCCUGCAUUGCUAGAUUGUUAUCUUUACAUUUUUAUAGCAAAAAUGGAAUUAAAAUUCUUCUGGUCCAAUUAAUCAUACCCAUAGAACUUAGUGUGAAUUUCAAACAUAAUAUACUACAUUAAUCUCAGGAAAAGACAUACCUUGUUCUGAUUCAAAUAACCUAAUUAAUCUGUUCAUAUCGAUCUCUUUUGCAACAAUUUUCAAACCCAAUUCAGCCUUUGUGGAGGGUCUAAGGUGGCAAAUUAGGAGCCGAUCAACAGUCAUGGUAUGAUCAUCAUCCUUUCAUUUUUAUAUUGGAAAGCUACAGAUGAACAAAACAUAGGGUGUGACUUAACAACUAGAGCUCAACAAAGACAAACAAGGCAGCCUUAGGUGUUGCUUUCUCUUGUGCUUGGAUUCAAGCUGGACUUUGGCAAUGAAGUUGCAAAUACAAUCACUUGCCAUUUUUGGUAAUCACGACAAAUUUUUUAGUCUUUGUCAUGGACCAGGCAAUUUGGCAAAGAUAAUUUAAAGCUUCAAAAAAUUUAAAGCUCACAUUGAAGCAACUAGAGACAGCCAUCACAAAGACAAAUGUCAAGUGAUGGCUGGGCCCAUAAGUGAUGGCUGAGCCCUUGAAGAUGUAUGAGCUACUAGAUCCAUAGCCCAAGCCCAUAUCUCUCCUAUGGACAUCCAAAAUUUUGAGGACCACAUGCAAAUUAUCUCAAAAUUCCCCCAAGUUUUAUUAUAAUCUUCUAUAAAUGAUGUUACAAAAUAAUUAAAGAAAAAAGAGAAUUUACACUGACAGUGAUAAAAAAAAAAAAGAAUGCAAAACAAAAAUUAUUUCAUCAAUUUUCAAUAAAGUUUUUAGAUUCCAC